UACGGAGGGUGCGAGCGUUAUCCGGAAUUACUGGGCUUAAAGGGUGCGUAGGCGGCCAAGUAAGUCAGGAGUGAAAGUUUGCGGCUCAACCGUAAAAUUGCUUUUGAUACUGCUAGGCUAGAAUUAGGAUGAGGUCAGCGGAAUGUGGCAUGUAGCGGUGAAAUGCAUAGAUAUGCCAUAGAACACCAAUUGCGAAGGCAGCUGGCUAGACCUGGAUUGACGCUGAGGCACGAAAGCGUGGGGAUCGAACAGG
rnacentral:rRNA from 1 species